UACGUAGGGGGCUAGCGUUGUCCGGAAUCAUUGGGCGUAAAGAGCGUGUAGGCGGCUCGGUAAGUCCGCUCUGAAAGCCCGGGGCUCAACCCCGGGAGGCGGGCGGAUACUGUCGAGCUAGAGUCCGGAAGAGGCGAGUGGAAUUCCUGGUGUAGCGGUGAAAUGCGCAGAUAUCAGGAGGAACACCAAUAGCGAAGGCAGCUCGCUGGGACGGCACUGACGCUGAGACGCGAAAGCGUGGGGAGCAAACAG
rnacentral:rRNA from 1 species